rnacentral:rRNA from 1 species
CCUGAUCCAGCCAUGCCGCGUGUGUGAAGAAGGCCCUCGGGUUGUAAAGCACUUUCAGCGAGGAAGAACGCCUGGCGGUUAAUACCCGCCAGGAAAGACAUCACUCGCAGAAGAAGCACCGGCUAACUCCGUGCCAGCAGCCGCGGUAAUACGGAGGGUGCAAGCGUUAAUCGGAAUUACUGGGCGUAAAGCGCGCGUAGGUGGCUUGAUAAGCCGGUUGUGAAAGCCCCGGGCUCAACCUGGGAACGGCAUCCGGAACGUCAGGCUAGAGUGCAGGAGAGGAAGGUAGAAUUCCCGGUGUAGCGGUGAAAUGCGUAGAGAUCGGGAGGAAUACCAGUGGCGAAGGCGGCCUUCUGGACUGACACUGACACUGAGGUGCGAAAGCGUGGGUAGCAAACAGGAUUAGAUACCCUGGUAGUCCACGCCGUAAACGAUGUCGACCAGCCGUUGGUGCCUAGCGCACUUUGUGGCGAAGUUAACGCGAUA